CUGACAUGAUCCACUUUUGGAAUGACAUCUAAGAGAUACCAUCCUUCUAUGGCUAUUUCCAGAAGAAUUUCACUCUCAUCCAAAGACAGUCAAGGGAAGGAGAGCCAAGAAGCCUACACUAGACAUUCAGAUCUGACAAAGUGUUGAGUGGAAGAUUAUGCUGGAGGGGAUGGGCAGAGACACGAAUCACAAGAUGUGUCUUGACAAGGGCUGCUGCAAGAUGAACAAAUAGGCCCGACUCUGAAUUAUGAGAGGACUCCUCUGACAUGAGCUGCGAGGCUCUGAGAACUUUCCACUCAUUUGGUGUUUAGUAAUUCUCUUCAGACAAGACAAUGAAAACCAAACAAGCCUUCAUGUCAAAUGAACGGGAAACCAGGGAAGCCAUGCCACGAAUAAAGACCAGAUCUUCAUGA